ACGCUCGACACCUACGGGAGACAGCAGUGGGGAAUAUUGCACAAUGGGGGAAACCCUGAUGCAGCGACGCCGCGUGAGUGAAGAAGUAUUUCGGUAUGUAAAGCUCUAUCAGCAGGGAAGAAGAUGACGGUACCUGAGUAAGAAGCCCCGGCUAACUACGUGCCGGNAGCAGCGGUAAUCUGAGCGGGCUGGCAAGGC
rnacentral:rRNA from 1 species